rnacentral:rRNA from 1 species
UACGAAGGGAGCUAGCGUUGUUCGGAAUCACUGGGCGUAAAGCGCACGUGGGCGGAUGUGUCAGUCAGGGGUGAAAUCCCGGAGCUCAACUUCGGAACUGCCUUUGAUACAGCACGUCUUGAGUCCGAUAGAGGUGGGUGGAAUUCCUAGUGUAGAGGUGAAAUUCGUAGAUAUCGAGAGGAACACCUGCGGCGAAGGCGGGUUGCUGGGCUGAUACUGACGCUGAGGCGCGAAAGCCAGGGGAGCGAACGGG